AUUAAACGCUGGCGGCAUGCCUUACACAUGCAAGUCGAACGGCAGCACGGGGGCAACCCUGGUGGCGAGUGGCGAACGGGUGAGUAAAGCAUCGGAACGUGCCCUGGAGUGGGGGAUAACGUAGCGAAAGUUACGCUAAUACCGCAUAUUCUGUGAGCAGGAAAGCAGGGGAUCGCAAGACCUUGCGCUCUGGGAGCGGCCGAUGUCGGAUUAGCUAGUUGGUGGGGUAAAGGCCUACCAAGGCGACGAUCCGUAGCGGGUCUGAGAGGAUGAUCCGCCACACUGGGACUGAGACACGGCCCAGACUCCUACGGGAGGCAGCAGUAGGGAAUCUUGCGCAAUGGAGGAAACUCUGACGCAGCGAUACCGCGUGAGUGAGGAAGGUCUUCGGAUUGUAAAGCUCUGUCGUGAGGGGAAAAAAUGGUUAACACAGGUAAUAUUUGUGUAAAUUGAUGGUACCUCAGAAGGAAGCACCGGCUAACUUCGUGCCAGCAGCCGCGGUAAUC
rnacentral:rRNA from 1 species